UACAUGGGGUGCAAACGUUGCUCGGAAUCAUUGGGCGUAAAGCGCACGUAGGCGGUUACUUAAGUCGGGCGUGAAAGCCCUCGGCUCAACCGAGGAAGUGCACCCGAAACUGCUGAGCUUGAGUGCCGGAGAGGAUGGCGGAAUUCCCCAAGUAGAGGUGAAAUUCGUAGAUAUGGGGAGGAACACCGGUGGCGAAGGCGGCCAUCUGGACGGUAACUGACGCUGAGACGCGAAAGCGUGGGGAGCAAACAGG
rnacentral:rRNA from 1 species